rnacentral:rRNA from 1 species
GAUGAACGUUGGCGGCGUGCCUAAUACAUGCAAGUCGAACGAAGACUGUAGUAAUACUGUCUUAGUGGCGAACGGGUGAGUAACGCGUGGGUGACCUGCCCCGAAGUGUGGGAUAACAGUUCGAAAGGAUUGCUAAUACUGCAUAAUAUCCAAGAGAUUAGACGCUUUUGGAUUAAAGGAGUAAUUCGCUUCGGGAGGGGCCCGCGUCCCAUCAGCUAGUUGGUAAGGUAAUGGCUUACCAAGGCGAUGACGGGUAGGGGACCUGAGAGGGUGGCCCCCCAAAUGGAACUGAAACACGGUCCAUACACCUACGGGUGGCAGCAGUAGGGAAUAUUAGUAAUGGGCGAAAGCCUGAACUAGCAACGCCGCGUGUGCGAAGAAGGCCUUCGGGUUGUAAAACCCUUUCGUGCGGAAAGAAUAGUCUCGUAGCGAAUAACUACGGGAUUUGACGGUACCGCAGGAAGAAGCACCGGCUAACUCCGUG